AGAGUUUGAUCAUGGCUCAGAAUCAACGCUGGCGGCGUGCCUAACACAUGCAAGUCGAGCGAGAAAAGGGGAGCAAUCCUCUGAGUAAAGCGGCGCACGGGUGAGUAACACGUGGGUAAUCUGCCCUGAAGUGGGGAAUAACACCGGGAAACCGGUGCUAAUACCGCAUAUGAUCACGGUGUCUGCGGACACAGGGAUGAAAGGAGCAAUUCGCUUCAGGAGGAGCCCGCGGCUGAUUAGCUAGUUGGUGAGGUAAUGGCCCACCAAGGCUACGAUCAGUAUCCGGUCUGAGAGGACGGUCGGACACACUGGAACUGAGACACGGUCCAGACUCCUACGGGAGGCAGCAGUGGGGAAUUUUUCGCAAUGGGGGCAACCCUGACGAAGCAACGCCGCGUGGAUGAUGAAGUAUCUCGGUACGUAAAAUCCUUUCGACAGGGAAGAAACCGCAAGGUUGACGGUACCUGUAGAAGAAGCCCCGGCUAACUCCGUGCCAGCAGCCGCGGUAAUACGGGGGGGGCUAGCGUUGUUCGGAAUUACUGGGCGUAAAGGGCGCGUAGGCGGUCUGCUAAGUUGGAUGUGAAAACUCUGGGCUUAACCCAGAGCCUGCAUUCAAUACUGACAGGCUAGAGUUCUGGAGGGGAUAGCGGAAUUCCUGGUGUAGCGGUGAAAUGCGUAGAUAUCAGGAGGAACACCGGUGGCGAAGGCGGCUAUCUGGACAGAGUCUGACGCUGAGGCGCGAAAGCUAGGGGAGCAAACAGGAUUAGAUACCCUAGUAGUCC
rnacentral:rRNA from 1 species